GGGGCGAUGGCGGAAUGGUAGACGCAGGAGACUUAAAAUCUCCCGGCUGAAAGGCUGUGAGGGUUCGAGUCCCUCUCGCCCCAC
rnacentral:tRNA from 1 species